rnacentral:lncRNA from 1 species
UUUCAGAGGCGAGGACUUGCACUUUAGAUCAUUCCUGCUGCAGCUGCUGAGUCUGCUUUGUGAGCCGCUUGCAGUUCUUUGAGUCCUAAUGCUUUAAGUCAUCAAGGAUGGAUCUGAUUGGUUGAGAUUUUGAUUUUGUGUGAAUUGAAUUGACUCAUUCAUGGAUUCAUAGCUACAGAGCAUAUACCAUUUGAAGAUGUGGCUGCAGACUUGUACCUGUGUGUCCCUGCAACAAGUGAACCUUGAAUUUUGAGCCGUCGAUCAAAAUCAGACAGUUACACUUCUCAGAUUUACAAAAUUUACGCUCAUUUCCAAGUUCCCAAGGUCACAGAUCCCUCUCAGAGUAUUUCAAGUCUACAGAUUCCUGGCUGAAUCCGAAUCCAGACGGUUUAAAGACACAACAGUCUGAUGCAUUGUCUCAGAGUGGUGUCACUUGAGCUCUCCAGAUCGACACUCCAGACCUCAUCUGUCCUUUCAAGCAGAUGCACCUACAAAUCUUCAUUCUGUGUCAGACUGCUAGCGCUCCGCCAAGCACCCAUGACAAUGACUCUAAAGAAAAUAAAUGUUGUCUUAAGUAGAAAAUUGCCUCGCAUUUGCAUGAAAAUGACUUACAUCUGCCGCGGCUGAUGGGUAGCAUAUUAAUCCCUCUGCUUGUGCAAUCAAAACCCACUCCUCCUCGGUGAAAUCAUGUUGUUUUUUUUUCGUGUGACUGAACCGUGACCCCCCUCUUCGUGUCGUUAUUUUGAUAUCCAUCUCAAAGCGAAACAGCAGUUUGACCCCGAAGUGCCGUCUUUGGAGGAACAAACCGGCUCUCAGCGUUGCUUUGAUUAUCACAUGCUGAUUAUAUUCAGCCAAUUAACUCCAAUCUAAUGAAAAAAAAAAAAAAGCUCAUUCAGUGAUGGCGUGCUGCCGCCUCUGACCGGCAGCUGCUAUAUGACUGUUUUAUAGACUUCUAUCAGAUCUGCUCCGGCUCGAUUUAUCCUCAUCAUUAGUUAUCUCACAAUAUAUGACAUUGAGGUUUAUUGCACCCUUUGAAGACAACAUCUCGGCGGUGAAAUGCUGUUAAAAACAUUUCAAAAGCUGUCAUCAAUAGUCCUAAUUUAUUCUGAGAGCAAUGCCGGUUUGUUCUCUUUUUAAAUAAUGGAGGAUAUGAGCAAAAGUUGUUAAGAAUUCAGCUCAAUGAAUCACUUUCAAGUGUUGCCUUUGAAGGCGCGCCGUCCGAGAGAGCCUUUUCCAGAAAGCCCCGACAUCACACAUUCGUCCAAUCAAUAAGGUUAACCUCACCAAGCUGGAGAGAAAUUGCUUCUGCUGGACAAAGUUAGAUGGAGCUCCUUGGAGUAAGGGUUGAUGUUUUUUUUCUGCUUCACCUCUCGGUAGGUGGGGUGCAGUAUUUCUGAUUGGAUUUAUAGUGGAGCGGUGGUCAGUGAGGUGGUCUGUAUUUACUGUUUUUGAUGUCGGAGUGAUUUGCAUAAGCCGGUUCAGGUCUACUUUCUCCCUCCAGGGGGAAAAUAUUCAGGUCUUUCAUUCUGUUUUUAUUGUGCAGGACUUCGCUUUUGAUUCUGUGUUUCGAGUAACCCUCGACUUGUGUUUUUAAGAGGUACCCGACCUCUAAAAUUUCUUGCGGAUGCUUCAAAAGACCGCCUUGGCUACUAUCAGCCUCUGUCAGUAUCAGCGACAGACUUCUGAUCCGUGCUCACGGCUCUCGAGCGUCCUCUGUUGAUGGACCUGAAUGGACGAGCCGCCUCUGUCCACUCCUGCCACCCUGAAACCACACUUGCAUUCCUAACUAAUCCCCUAACUGCACGAUUCGCCCCUGAAUGAGUUGUUAGUGCCUUUUUCUGCGUGCUGUGUCACCGCUAGCGCUCACACGGCGGCUCUCGUCUUCAUACCCCCCCCUCCCUGAAGGCAGCCAGACUCACCACACUGUAGCUUGAGAGAUUUUGACAAGUCGCUACGCAUGCAGGCAGAAUCCUUGACCUAUUUCUUAAUGAGUGAAUGCAGCAAAAGCGGCUCAGCGGCUGUGUAUUCUUGAAUGAAGCCCCCCUCUCUAACCCCUCCUUUCUCUCCUAACUGUCUUUUUCUUGCACACACACACACGCAAACAUGCAAACACAUGCAGAUAAUGGUGCUUUUGUGAGUUCACUGACUCAUUCUCCCACAGACAUAGGUCCUCUUCUUCUUUUUCCCCCCUAACU